GAAAAGGGAAGAGCCUAAACCUGACUGGUGUCAAGCCUGGCGGCGUUGCCAGUUAGGGGUUGUGGGACCGAAUGGGAGGAGCGUCAGAUCCUCCACGGAGUUACAAAUCUGUCAGCUAGCAGAAGCGUUUUGGAAUAGCGCGCCAUAGUGGGUAAGAGCCCCGUAAGCGAAAGCUGAGCAGACUCCGAUUCGUGCUCCCGAGUAACACCGGAUCCGGGAAAGCCGGUGUGAAUCUGCGAGGACCACCUCGUAAGGCUAAGUAUACGUAGUCGACCGAUAGCGAACUAGUACCGUGAGGGAAAGGUGAAAAGUACCCCGGGAGGGGAGUGAAAUAGUACCUGAAACCGUUGGUCUACAAUCAGUCAAAGCGUCGUUUCAAACUUCGGUUUGAAGCCGCAAUGGCGUGCCUUUUGAAGAAUGAGCCAACGAGUUACGGUGUGUGGCAAGGUUAACCCGUGAGGGGGAGCCGGAGCGAAAGCGAGUCUGAACAGGGCGUUCAGUCGCAUGCUGUAGACCCGAAGCCGAGUG
rnacentral:rRNA from 1 species